rnacentral:lncRNA from 1 species
CAUAUUGCUGAAGAGGAGCACCUCGCUGAGGGUGAGACGGGAGAACAGGUGGAAACUGAGCUGCUCAGUGAGACAGUAAGUGAAGGGCCUGAAACAAAAGAAGAAGAAACAGGAGAAGCUGUGGAUAGUGCAGCAGCGACAGAGAUAGGCAUACAGCUGCUUUCUGCAUUUUUACACAAGAGAAUCAAAAAUACUUUACAGUAAAAGACAUUUUUGGAAGCAACCAAUUGGAAGUCAUGCUUUUUACAUGGGUCAUCUUUAUAUAAUACACAAGCCUUAUCAGUGAUAACUUUACCCACUUUGGGAAGAAUGAUAGACUGUAA